ACUAUUGCAUCUACAUUUCCCUGCAGCAGACACAAUUUGGAAGAUAUGGCUACUAAACCGACAACCUACUGGAAAUGCCAAGACGUGGAGACUUCUGGGGAACCGAAACGAAUUAGGAAAAGACUAUUCAUCGACUUAGACCGAACUGAAGACCAGGCAUGAGUUUUACUAAGCUUCUUAAGUUUAAGAUUUCAUCGUAACCGUAAGUUACGAUGAAUAUCUGUUUUACCAAACUUCUUAACUUUAAGUUACGUCAAAAAUAUCGUCGUAACUUACGACAGCCUAUGGGCUACUCUAAGUUAAGAAUUUUUCGUAUUUUUCUAAAUAAAUGAAUAAAAAUGGCCGCCUGCUUAUUGUUUAUUGAAGUUUUAAGAGAAAAUGAAGAGAAGGCUUUGCGUCGUGAACGCGUUUUCAGAGACAGGAGUCAAGUUCUAGAUAUGUUGACCGACAGCGAGCUCAUUGGGCGAUAUAGAUUUCCAAGGCGAGUUAUUCUCCAGCUGACAGACGAUGUCAAAGACUUCAUACAGCCACAAACUUUGAGGUCGCAUGCCAUUCCAGCCCACAUCCAGGUUCUAACAUGCUUGCGUUUCCUGGCUAAAGGAGACUACCUCUCAGAAACAACAGACAUUCAUGGGAUCUCCAAAUCAUCUGGUUGUCUGGCUGUUCAUCGAGUGGUCGAUGCUGUCUGCAAAGCUUUGCAGAACAUCGAGUUCCCUACAAGGAGGGAACACAUUUCCCGUAUCAAAGCGUCGUUCUACAGGAUUGCUGGGUUCCCAAAUGUGAUUGGUGCCAUCGAUGGGACUUAGAUACCCAUACAAGGCAUGGGAACAGAUGAUGAACAUCUGUAUGUCUGCAGAAAGGGUUUUCAUUCCAUAAACGUGCAAGCGGUUGUAGACGCAGAUUUAAGGUUCACAAAUGCCGUCUGCAAAUUCCCAGGAGCAACCCAUGAUGCGUUCAUUUUGCAAAACAGCUCCUUGCCAAAUUUGAUUGAAAGCCUUCAGGAUGGAGGUUGGCUGAUAGGCGAUUCGGGUUAUCCCCUUAAAGAGUGGCUGAUGACUCCUAUCAGCAACCCGAGGAGUGGACAAGAAGAGCGGUACAAUUCGGCUCACUGUCGUACUAGAAAUGCUAUUGAAAGGGCAUUUGGUGUGCUUAAAGCACGUUUCAGGUGCUUGCACAAAACUGGAGGAUGCUUGCCUUAUAGACCAGACAAAUGCACGAAAAUAAUUGAAUGUGCUAUGAGGCUACACAACUUGGCCAUAAAUGAGAGGGUGCCUCUCAUGGUAGAAACUGAGGAAGAAGAUGAUGUCCAGCAACCAUUUGCUCCAGUUAUCCCCAACAAUUGUACUGCAGCAAUGCUGAGAGAUAGACUUGUACAAAGAUUUUGAAGAGGAGAUAACGACAAUGACAAUGGUUGAGAAUUUCCAGACUGGUGCAUGGAGUUGCUUAUGGAUUCAACUGCAAUGGUGCUUCUGCGUUGUAGUUCAAGCAUUUCUUCAAGAAUCUUGAUUUUUCUGGAUCUGUAUGUCUCCAGUUUAGAAAUCUUCUCCUCUUCCAUAGAUAACAGCUGUGAUAUGUGUACCGGAACUUCAUUUUCUUUUAAAGAAAAGUUUUAGAAAGCAUGAGAAUAGGUUUUCUUUUUUUUUAAAUAUCAAUUCAUUCUAACAAAGUCAAUAAGGGUUUUUUUCUUUAAGGUUUUAUCUACACUAAAUAGACUGCUGACAUUUAACAAACAUUUUUUUUAACUAACCUCCUAGUGUAAGACUUGCAUGAGAAAAAAUGGCUGUCAUGUAUAUUAUUUGUUGAAAUCAAACUUAAUAAGAUAUCAUUAUGACAAAGUAGUGUGAUGGACAACUUUUUAGUUCUCUUUAACAAUAUCACUGACCAUAUGCCUCCUUAAAGAAUUAAAAUUCACUUUACAAGGCUCGAUUUCAUUGUUACCUUUCCUUUGCACCCUUGUCUGUUUUCUUGGCCUUUCUUGACUUUGACUAGACUCGCCUGAAAUUAAAUUUGUAAUAAUUCAAUAUCCAUUUGUAAUGCAAUAUUACACUUGUAUAAACUUGUAUAAACUUUUUUUAUGCAUUCACAAUCAUUAGUGCUUAAAAACCUAUCAAUUUGUAUAAAGUUAUAUGUUGAUAUUUUUUGUCUCAUGCUAUCAAACUUUUGAUACAAUAUUGUUAAAUUGUUAUUCAUUACAUUAAUUGUGUUGUUUUAAACUUACUCUCAAAAUUCAUGUCUUUGUAUGUGUUGUUGUUGAUACUUGUCAUUCCUUUGAUAGAAAGAAUAUGAUUAAUGAAACAAAAUUAUCAAUCGAAAAAAUUAUGUUCAAAAGAAAUUGUUAUAUAGUUAAUAAUAUGCAUUUCAUGAAAAUAAAUAUUCAAUUCAAUAAG
rnacentral:sRNA from 1 species